GACCCUCUUCUCUGUGAUCUCAUGGUGAGAAAAACUCAAACCAUAAAGGAAGAUAUCGCUACCUGCUGUUUAUCAAAAUACACUAUAAAAAGAGUGAAAAAGACGGAGUUUUGUUCUUGUUGCCUAGGCUGUAGUGCAAUGGCACAAUCUCGGCUCACUGCAACCUCCACCUCCCAGAUUCAAGUGAUUUUCCUGCCUCAGCCUCCUGAGUAGCUGGGAUUACAGGGACAUGGCUAUUUUCGUGAAGUCUAUCUCCCCUGCAACGUGAAGCUUUCUGUGUCCCUUCUGGAGGACUGUCCUGGGAUGCAGUGAUUUCAGCAAAGCUCUCAG
rnacentral:lncRNA from 13 species